rnacentral:rRNA from 1 species
UACGAGGGGGGCAAGCGUUGUUCGGAAUUAUUGGGCGUAAAGAGCUCGUAGGCGGUUCGUCGCGUCGGCUGUGAAAACCUGAGGCUCAACCUCAGGCCUGCAGUCGAUACGGGCGGACUUGAGUACUGCAGGGGAGACUGGAAUUCCUGGUGUAGCGGUGAAAUGCGCAGAUAUCAGGAGGAACACCGGUGGCGAAGGCGGGGUCUCUGGGCAGUAACUGACGCUGAGGAGCGAAAGCGUGGGGAGCGAACAGG